rnacentral:lncRNA from 1 species
AAACAUUAGGAGUAUAAAUCAUGAAUAACUUUUAAGUUAUUGAGUCUGGAAAUGUGAAAACCAUAUGAAUAGAUUUGUCUUGAAAAAUACUUUCAUAAAAAUAUACAUAUACCAGUUUUUGAUAAAUAUUUUUAUAAAAUAAGGAGUCAAAGUUAGGCUUUAGAGACCGUGUCAUUGUCCUAACCGAAUUUCUUUAUGGCCAUGGAGGGAGUAUGGUGCAUGUUCCAAAUAAUUUAUUAUGCUAUUGCAGUACUUAAGAACAUACUCUAUGACCUAAAAUCUUUAUGUUAAAAAAGUGCAAAUAGUAGAGUUAAUGAAAUAUACAAUAAGCAUAGGAGUUUCAACUUAAUUUGAGGCGAGAAAAAAGGUUGUAGCAGUCGAUAAGAAUAAAAUUUGAAAAAUCAAAGUUUAGAUUCAUGACUUCAUAUGAUACAUGAUGCAGCAAGAGCCACCAUGAUUAAUGGCAAUGUUUCAAAGUAACUUCAUAUUUAAAAUACAUAGAGGUGCCAUGCAAAGCAAAAAUAUGAAUAUGCACAAAAUAUAUAGUUUAUUUCCUUCAAAAACAGUAAUUAAAAGUUUAAGAUAACUUGAUAUAGACUACAUAGUAUCUAUUAUAUCUACUAUGAUAGAAAAUAAACAAAGAGAAAAAGAUAUAAUUUAAUAUAAGCAAUUCUUUAUUAGUCAGAUCUACUCCCUCUGUUUCAAAUUAUAAGACGAUUUGAGUUUUAAUUUCUAAAUGUGCAGCUUUUGCUAUACACGUAGAUGUAUUGUCCACAUACAUAAUAAAAAUAAUAUAUCUAGAAAAGUCAAAAUAUCUUAUAAUUAGAAUAAAGAGAAUCUUAAACAACACCUAAUACUUAUCUAAAAGUUCUAGCCCAUGCAAGAGCACAAGUUGAUGAACUAGUAUAUAUUAAAAAAAGUUGAAAAAAAAAUCAAGUGUGUAGGCCUCUAAAGCACUUGAGCUAGGUAUGGUAGACGCUAAAAUUGUUUGUGCACGUAUUGCACGAUCCGUUCUGUGUGGAUGAAAAUAAGAUAGUUUUUUUUUAUGUAACAGGAGGGGUCGGCCCCUACUGAUUUUAUUGAUUUUGUAAAAUAAAGUACAGGUCUAGUUUGAAAGAGUAAGAAACAAAAGAAGACAG